GACGAACGCUGGCGGCGUGCUUAACACAUGCAAGUCGAACGGAAAGGCCCUGCGUUUGUGGGGUGCUCGAGUGGCGAACGGGUGAGUAACACGUGAGUAACCUGCCCUUGACUUUGGGAGAACUUCAGGAAACUGGGGCUAAUACCGGAGAGGAGCUCCUGCUGCAUGGGGGGGGUUGGAAAGUGUCGGCGGUUGGGGAUGGACUCGCGGCUUAUCAGCUUGUUGGUGGGGUAGUGGCUUACAAAGGCUUUGACGGGUAGCCGGCCUGAGAGGGUGACCGGCCACAUUGGGACUGAGGUACGGCCCAGUCUCCUACGGGACGCAGCAGUGGGGAAUCUUGCGCAGUGGCCGGACGCCUGAUGCAGCAACGCCGCGUGCGGGAUGACCGCCUUCGGGUUGUAAACCGCUUUCGCCUGUGACGAAGCGUGAGUGACGGUAAUGGGUAAAGAAGCACCGGCUAACUACGCG
rnacentral:rRNA from 1 species